CAAUAAAUUUUGUACAAGUUUGGCUACUUUUCAGAACUCUUUUUUUAUUGGAUUUGUUUAUAAAAUAUAAUUUAAGCAAAAAAGGUCAAACAAAAUAUCCAAAAUUCUACAUAGUAACUAUACAUUUGAUACAUGGAAACUACACAGGGAUGUAAACGUAAGAAACACCAUAGAACUGUAAACCAAGGGUUUUUAAAAUGUGCAUUGUCCGCAUAUGGCUGGAGUUUGCAUACAUCCAACGGAUCUUUAUACGUUUUACUCGGCAAG